GUCCACGCCGUAAACGGUGGAUGCUGGAUGUGGGGCCCGUUCCACGGGUUCCGUGUCGGAGCUAACGCGUUAAGCAUCCCGCCUGGGGAGUACGGCCGCAAGGCUAAAACUCAAAGAAAUUGACGGGGGCCCGCACAAGCGGCGGAGCAUGCGGAUUAAUUCGAUGCAACGCGAAGAACCUUACCUGGGCUUGACAUGUUCCCGACGGUCGUAGAGAUACGGCUUCCCUUCGGGGCGGGUUCACAGGUGGUGCAUGGUC
rnacentral:rRNA from 1 species